rnacentral:piRNA from 1 species
UGGGACAGUGAUUGGUGCCGAGAAUGGGCCA